CAGGGUUUUCAUCUUUUUGCAUAGCUAAGCUAAUUAGAAAUUAAUAACAAUUUUCUUUCUAUAUAUUGUAACAUGUAUGUGUCAAAUAUCAGAUAGAGAUUGGUUUAGUUUUUCUUGCUCAUUUCCUACUGUUUCACCUUGUAAAAAACACCUGACAUUUUGUUUUACCUUCUGGAACUGUUGUAAGGGUAACUGUUACUUUUUUUUUUUUCCCAAGGAUAACUGGGAAUAUUUGAUUUAAUGUGUUCCUCAUAAAUUUACAUAUACAAAUUUAUAUUUAUGUAUAGAUAUAGUCAUUACUGGAAAUCAAAGGAAUCAACGUCUGCACAUUGAAUUUUACGUGGAUUGUAGACUGUGCUCCAAAGACAUUUGUUCUCCAAGUGAUUAAUAUUUAAACUGUAGCUGUUUAAAAUAUAUUUAGAACAUAUUCAUACUAUGAUGGGGAAUUAAUCAUUUUUCUUAAUUAAUUUUUCAUUAACUCAAUCUUAAUUAUUUGCAGUAACACUUUUUUUUUUUCCCUAAGUUUUUAGGUGAUUGAAAACUGAGUAUGAAUUUUAAUUCUCCAGUAAGAUAGUACUACAAUAUAUGUGGAGAAAUCAUUGGCAGUGUUAUAAGUAGUUGGUGCCCUUAAUGUGAACUAAAAAAUGCAGUAAGAAGUUGCAGCCAGAGUCAAUAAAUAAGUUCAUUAAUAAAGCUAUUCUUUUUAUGUAAUUCUGACGUUUUAAUAUUUGAACUGUUUUUCAUCCUGUUUUCAAGUGAUUGUCCAUGUUUUUUUCUGUAGGUACUUCUUUAGUCUGAUAGCAUUUUCUUUCAGUUUCCAUUGGGCAAAACACAACAGGGUAAACGUCCUUCUAUAUGGUCUAUAUGCAAGAUAUCACUACAACUUUGCUGUUCAUGAGAGCAAUUUUUUUUUUCUUGGAGCUCUCCUUCAGGGCUGUUUUCUAACGAAUAGUUAUGUCUGUGUUCUGUAAAUUUACUUAGGCAAAAAAAAUACCCCUAUGCUAUUUUUUCCUUAUCUUUGAUAUUCAGAUCAAAGAUUUAUUUUAAACAAAGAAGUACAAGAGCUUCAGACUUUAGAGGUGCCUGUGUCUAUAAAUAUUCCUUGUAUGGUGAAGGAAGUAUCCAAGGAAAGCAUAAGCCUUGUAAAUUAUUAAAUGGGGACUUAAAAUCUUUUGAUUGUAUGCCUGAACAUAUGUCUACCUAAGAAGCCUACUUAACUUCUUUUCUAUUCCUAGCCACUUUCAGAAAAACAAAUCAAAUUUCUUCCUGGUUUGGAGUAGGGCUCUCAGGGUUUUCGGUAUCUUCUCUCAAGCCAGGUAGCGUUCCUUGGUUGUGUUUUAGGAAAGGAGGAGACUGUCUUCAUUAUCAGCAAUUUCUUAUUAUUUCAUAGUUGACAAGUAUUUUCAAGUCAAAGUUAACAAACAAACAAACAAAUAAACAAAAAGGAAAGAAUUCCUGAUUAUUAAAAAAAAAAAACAAAAAAACCAACAACUUGGGACAGUAAUGCCACAGAGAGUGCUUCUGAAAUUUUUUACAGUAUGUGGUAGUCUCAUCUACAUAUUCCACAAAGUAACUGAGGAAAAAUAUACUAUGUCAGUACCAUUGAAACAAGAACUCACUGAUAUUUUCAGGACUUCCUACUCUAUAUGACUGAAUAAUUUAUCUCUUUGGUGGCACUUCCAAUCUGUGAUACUGAUGACAUCAGUGACACAUAGAAUAAGAUAUGUGUUAAUCCUUUGUAUGCCUCAUUUUCUCUAAUAACAGACUAGCUGCACUUACAGCAAUGGUAGCAUUCAUAUAAACAUAGGUUACUAAUAAAAUAUUUGCUUUAAAACUAGGAUGUCCAUUUAACUCAGUCACCAUGAAACAGUCAACUCUGUCUUCACAGUGAAAUCCAGUAUUGUGACAUAGGUAUCUUCAAUGCCAAUUGCAUGGCCUCAAUUACAUAUCAAUACAGAUAUUUGUUUUCUGCACUUCAUCCUACAUUUAAUUUCAAUUUCUGUCUGGCAUUUUUAUCCUUAGAUGUGGAAUUCAGUAGAUGUGUCUUGUUUGGUAGAUCCAGAAGUAAACUGGAUCCCAUAGCUUGAGAAAUGUUUUUCUUCUUAACAUGGCUAAGAUCAUAAUUAUGAAUUUAGACGCACAUCUCUGUGGAGCUUGUAUUUUUCGUGUUCUCAUAGAGAUACAAAAAUUGGCUCUAUGCCUACUAUCAAGUAUUGUGUGCUACAUACUAUUUUUCUCCCCUUAUGCUUCUAUUUCCAGUUACUAGAAGUAUAUAUUUUAAUUGAUUUCUUAUUUACUGGUCUAGUCAAACCAAUUUAAAGCACUAUAUAUAAUGUAUUGUAAUGUUACAUAAGCUAUAUAUUAUUGUAUAUGUAUUAUUAUAGUAGAUAAUGUCUAGUAGUAUAUGUGCAAUAUAUUAUUACAUAUAAUCAUCUGUACUAUUU
ensembl:lncRNA